rnacentral:rRNA from 1 species
AGCGAACGCUGGCGGCAGGCUUAACACAUGCAAGUCGAGCGGAGAUGAGGUGCUUGCACCUUAUCUUAGCGGCGGACGGGUGAGUAAUGCUUAGGAAUCUGCCAUUUAGUGGGGGACAACAUUCCGAAAGGAAUGCUAAUACCGCAUACGUCCUACGGGAGAAAGCAGGGGAUCUUCGGACCUUGCGCUAAAUGAUGAGCCUAAGUCGGAUUAGCUAGUUGGUGGGGUAAAGGCCUACCAAGGCGACGAUCUGUAGCGGGUCUGAGAGGAUGAUCCGCCACACUGGGACUGAGACACGGCCCAGACUCCUACGGGAGGCAGCAGUGGGGAAUAUUGGACAAUGGGCGGAAGCCUGAUCCAGCCAUGCCGCGUGUGUGAAGAAGGCCUUUUGGUUGUAAAGCACUUUAAGCGAGGAGGAGGCUACUAGUACUAAUACUACUGGAUAGUGGACGUUACUCGCAGAAUAAGCACCGGCUAACUCUGUGCCAGCCGCCGCAGUAACAC